GAGUUUGAUCUUGGCUCAGAUUGAACGCUGGCGGCAGGCCUAACACAUGCAAGUCGAGCGGUAGAGAGAAGCUUGCUUCUCUUGAGAGCGGCGGACGGGUGAGUAAUGCCUAGGAAUCUGCCUGGUAGUGGGGGAUAACGCUCGGAAACGGACGCUAAUACCGCAUACGUCCUACGGGAGAAAGCUAGGGGACCUUCGGGCCUUGCGCUAUCAGAUGAGCCUAGGUCGGAUUAGCUAGUUGGUGAGGUAAUGGCUCACC
rnacentral:rRNA from 1 species